CAGUUCGAUCGCAGCCAGUCAUCGUGUCAAAACAAUUUUUAUUGGGCUGGGGUUCCAUAAACCCCACCGCACCGAUCGCGAAUUUUUUUUGCACUGCGCAGUUAUUUAUCUUUUGUUGAUUUUUGAGCAGAAACCAAACAAAAUGGGUAGUAAAUCCUAUGAGAAAGAGCAGGAAUUGUUACAGAAAUACAUGGAUGAGAUUCACGCUGAGCUAAAUGAAGAACACGCAGAUCAAAUUAAUGAAGGAUCAUUAGGAGACAGCGACUCUGAUCGAUCAUCAAAUGAUGAAGAUUAUUUAGAAGAAUCAGAACACCUUACAGAUAGCGAGCAAAGUGCCAAUGAGGAAGACGAUACAGUGGAGAAUGAAGAAUUAGAAGACCAACCUUCUACAAGUACGUCAAAAAAAUACUUUAUAGGAAAAGACGGUAGAACAAAAUGGCUUUCAGAUGUUCCAAAUAUUAAUGUGCGUACAAGAAGUCAUAACUUAGUGACGCAUUUUCCUGGUCCUAAAGGUGACGCGAAAAAUGCAAAGUCAGAAUUAGAGUGCUGGUAUUGCUUUUUUACAACUGA